UUGUCACAUAACCCAUAUGCUGAUGAUAAAGUUUGUUGUAUGAGCUUGUGGCAUACUGAUCAGACAGGUGGCAGGUAUGCAUUCAGAUGUUGCAGCUCUAAGGAAGGGUAGUAUAUGGCACAUGGCUUCGUGGGUUGUUCAACAAGAAGUGUUUUGGGCAUAUUCGAAAGGCAAUCUUGUGAAAAUUAUAGAUCGAUUUUCUUAUUCCGUCAUCAGCUUCUAUUGAUAUGAGCGAUACAAAAAGUUCAGCACUGAAUUUUAGUAUGUUAACUUGCAAGAUUUCUCACGACUAUGUUUUUUUGUUAUAGGUUUAUAAAUUUCGAAAUAUAGUUGCAGCUUCACGGAAUGGACGGCCCAAAUUAUGUUAGUGUCUAUAUGUUUACUUGGUGGUGGUCUAGCGUGAGUGACACCUGCAUCUGUAACUUACCCAUUGGAUGUUCUUCGAAAUCACCUGACAACACAGAAAACCACUAGGUAUUACAAGGGCAUCUUUCACACGUUGUCUACAAUUUGUAGAGAAGAGAAUAGUAGAGGAUUGUAUAAAGGCCUUUGGUCCACCUUAUUGUAUCAUUUUUUGUCAAGAAACUGAGAAGACGGAAGAGAGUUGGUGUUGUCAGUGUGGUGAGCCUAUGCGGCAACCACAAGGCUGAAGUCUGCUUUGAUCGUUAUUCAAGAUUUGAGCCUUGGCUCCGGUUUUGAUAGCUCUAUAUCAACUUUCAGCGAGUUUUUGUUCUCGGACUUGGGAUCCACAGUCCAAAGUUGAUUGGUGGAUCAAGUGAACUAGGUGC